CACACAUCAGAGCAGUUGACUUUCUGGCAGAAAAUGUGGCGAUGGCUAUCUUUUUUAAGAGUUUAAAGAGAUCCAUGUUAUUGUGAGUUAUUCAAGACAACAGUAAUAAAUAGACCAGCAAGACGAACUGCCUUUUAUAGAAAGAGGGAGGCAGUGUUUAAUAACUAGGCAUAAGAGAGCAAUUUCUCCACUCUCAAGAAGACAGGAUAAACCACUCACUAUAGACAUUAAUUGUAUUAUUCCUAACCUUCCCUACAUUCACUUAAAGUAGGUAUUACUUUUCCUAAUUUUAGCAUAAAGAAAUAAAGUGCAGAGAGGGUAAGUCACUGUUUCAAGGUCAGAGUGCAAAGAAGUUGCUAAUGCAGGAGUCCAGCCCACACACGGUCGGAUUCCAACUCUAUCUUCCACAGUUGUGCUAUAGAAGGGAAAGGGAAUAGAGCAGAAAUGACCUGGGAAAGAUGGUGAAGGAGACACUGGGCCAGAGAAAAACCCAGGCCUGACAGACAGAGCUCAGCACAGGGAGCUGAGACUCCCUGACAAAGAGUAGACCUCAUCUUUACGUGUUCUGCCUUUGUUUCUAAAGGGAAAUCAAGCAGGAGAGAGAGGAGGCAGAUGUUGAGAAUUCAGCUGGAGUAGGUGUGUUGUUGAGAAGAGGAACUGUUUUGUGCUGUCUACACAGCUGAGCGUGGGGUGCUGAGCAUGAAGCCCUAAUUUAGGCUGUAGAAACCUAGCCAGCAGGGUCCUGUUGGCAGAAUGUUGAGGAGGUUUAAAGGAGAAGGGCCAGGAAAGACAGAAGAGAGUUUUUGAAUUCAACUUUGGCUAAAAAACCAAUUAUCUGGAAGAAACGCAUACUGUCAUGUGUCCAUUUGGGUGCUCGAUCUUUCAGCUGACCUGCCAGGGAUCGAACUUGGGACCUUGUGCCUACAAGGCAGGCACUGGAACUACUGAGCUAAAUCCACAGCCCUGCUCUGCUAUUCUUAAUCAUUAAGAUGCUGUACGCUGAGAAACAAAAUAAAAU
rnacentral:lncRNA from 1 species